GGGGAAUAUUGCGCAAUGGGGGAACCCCUGACGCGGCAUAACGCCGGGGUUGAGGAGGGUUUUGGAAUCGUAAAGCCCGGUUUUUGGGGAGGAAAAAAAGACGUUCCCCAGAAAGAAAGUCCGGGCAAACUACUGUCCAGCAGCCGCGGUAAUACGUAGGGGACAAGCGUUGUCCGGAUUUACUGGGCGUAAAGGGCACGCAGGCGGUUUUUUAAGUCAGAUGUGAAAGGUACCGGCUCAACCGGUGACAUGCAUUUGAAACUGAAAGACUUGAGUAUUGGAGAGGCAAGUGGAAUUCCUAGUGUAGCGGUGAAAUGCGUAGAUAUUAGGAGGAACACCGGUGGCGAAGGCGGCUUGCUGGACAAAUACUGACGCUGAGGUGCGAAAGCGUGGGGAGCAAACA
rnacentral:rRNA from 1 species